rnacentral:rRNA from 1 species
CCUACGGGAGGCAGCAGUGGGGAAUAUUGCACAAUGGGGGAAACCCUGAUGCAGCAACGCCGCGUGAGUGAAGCAGUAUUUCGGUAUGUAAAGCCCUAUCAGCAGGGAAGAAGAUGACGGUACCUGACCAAGAAGCACCGGCUAACUACGUGCCAGCAGCCGCGGUAAUACGUAGGGGGCGAGCGUUAUCCGGAUUUAUUGGGUGUAAAGGGUGCGUAGGCGGAAUGCCAAGUCAGCGGUAAAAUCGCGGGGCUCAACCUCGCUCCGCCGUUGAAACUGGCGUUAUUGAGUGGGCGAGAAGUAUGCGGAAUGCGUGGUGUAGCGGUGAAAUGCAUAGAUAUCACGCAGAACUCCGAUUGCGAAGGCAGCAUACCGGCGCCCAACUGACGCUGAAGCACGAAAGCGUGGGUAUCGAACAGGAUUAGAUACCCUGGUAGUC